rnacentral:rRNA from 1 species
UACGAAGGGGGCUAGCGUUGCUCGGAAUCACUGGGCGUAAAGGGUGCGUAGGCGGGUCUUUAAGUCAGGGGUGAAAUCCUGGAGCUCAACUCCAGAACUGCCUUUGAUACUGAGGAUCUUGAGUCCGGGAGAGGUGAGUGGAACUGCGAGUGUAGAGGUGAAAUUCGUAGAUAUUCGCAAGAACACCAGUGGCGAAGGCGGCUCACUGGCCCGGUACUGACGCUGAGGUGCGGAAGCGUGGGGAGCAAACAGG